CUUUAUGGCGGGCCGUGCGUGGGAGGGCUUCGGCCCUGCCGGGUUCCUGCGUCCCCGGUUUACCACCCCGCGCACGGUUCGCCUCCAAU
rnacentral:antisense_RNA from 1 species